CCCCAGAUGUUGCUGAAUUACAACUCCCAUGAUUCUUUGAAUUACAUAGAUAGCCAGAGAAUCAUGGGAGUUGUAGUUCAGCAACAUCUGGGG
rnacentral:miRNA from 1 species